UUUAAAGAGAGUUUGAUCCUGGCUCAGGACGAACGCUGGCGGCGUGCCUAAUACAUGCAAGUCGAACGAACGGAGGAAGAGCUUGCUCUUCCAAUGUUAGUGGCGGACGGGUGAGUAACACGUGGGCAACCUGCCUGUAAGUUGGGGAUAACUCCGGGAAACCGGGGCUAAUACCGAAUGAUAAAGUGUGGCGCAUGCCACGCUUUUGAAAGAUGGUUUCGGCUAUCGCUUACAGAUGGGCCCGCGGUGCAUUAGCUAGUUGGUAGGGUAAUGGCCUACCAAGGCAACGAUGCAUAGCCGACCUGAGAGGGUGAUCGGCCACACUGGGACUGAGACACGGCCCAGACUCCUACGGGAGGCAGCAGUAGGGAAUCUUCCGCAAUGGACGAAAGUCUGACGGAGCAACGCCGCGUGUAUGAAGAAGGUUUUCGGAUCGUAAAGUACUGUUGUUAGAGAAGAACAAGGAUAAGAGUAACUGCUUGUCCCUUGACGGUAUCUAACCAGAAAGCCACGGCUAACUGCGUGCCAGCAGCCGCGGUAAUACGUAGGUGGCAAGCGUUGUCCGGAUUUAUUGGGCGUAAAGCGCGCGCAGGCGGUCUUUUAAGUCUGAUGUGAAAGCCCCCGGCUUAACCGGGGAGGGUCAUUGGAAACUGGAAGACUGGAGUGCAGAAGAGGAGAGUGGAAUUCCACGUGUAGCGGUGAAAUGCGUAGAUAUGUGGAGGAACACCAGUGGCGAAGGCGACUCUCUGGUCUGUAACUGACGCUGAGGCGCGAAAGCGUGGGGAGCAAACAGGAUUAGAU
rnacentral:rRNA from 1 species